rnacentral:rRNA from 1 species
AUUGAACGCUGGCGGCAGGCUUAACACAUGCAAGUCGAGCGGAGAUGAGGUGCUUGCACCUUAUCUUAGCGGCGGACGGGUGAGUAAUGCUUAGGAAUCUGCCUAUUAGUGGGGGACAACAUUCCGAAAGGAAUGCUAAUACCGCAUACGUCCUACGGGAGAAAGCAGGGGAUCUUUGGACCUUGCGCUAAUAGAUGAGCCUAAGUCGGAUUAGCUAGUUGGUGGGGUAAAGGCCUACCAAGGCGACGAUCUGUAGCGGGUCUGAGAGGAUGAUCCGCCACACUGGGACUGGAACACGGCCCAGACUCCUACGGGAGGCAGCAGUGGGGAAUAUUGGACAAUGGGGGGAACCCUGAUCCAGCCAUGCCGCGUGUGUGAAGAAGGCCUUAUGGUUGUAAAGCACUUUAAGCGAGGAGGAGGCUACUGAGACUAAUACUCUUGGAUAGUGGACGUUACUCGCAGAAUAAGCACCGGCUAACUCUGUGCCAGCCGCCGCCGUAAAAC